rnacentral:rRNA from 1 species
CCUGGUAGUACACGCCCUAAACGAUGUCAACUAGCUGUUGGGGCCGUUAGGCCUUAGUAGCGCAGCUAACGCGUGAAGUUGACCGCCUGGGGAGUACGGUCGCAAGAUUAAAACUCAAAGGAAUUGACGGGGACCCGCACAAGCGGUGGAUGAUGUGGAUUAAUUCGAUGCAACGCGAAAAACCUUACCUACCCUUGACAUGUCUGGAAAGCCGAAGAGAUUUGGCCGUGCUCGCAAGAGAACCGGAACACAGGUGCUGCAUGGCUGUCGUCAGCUCGUGUCGUGAGAUGUUGGGUUAAGUCCCGCAACGAGCGCAACCCUUGUCAUUAGUUGCUACGCAAGAGCACUCUAAUGAGACUGCCGGUGACAAACCGGAGGAAGGUGGGGAUGACGUCAAGUCCUCAUGGCCCUUAUGGGUAGGGCUUCACACGUCAUACAAUGGUCGGGACAGAGGGUCGCCAACCCGCGAGGGGGAGCCAAUCUCAGAAACCCGAUCGUAGUCCGGAUCGCAGUCUGCAACUCGACUGCGUGAAGUCGGAAUCGCUAGUAAUCGCGGAUCAGAAUGUCGCGGUGAAUACGUUCCCGGGCCUU